UUUUUUUUGUUUUGGUAGCAGGAAGAGAUAAGAUGUAAGUCCAUCCUGCAAGUUUUGCUGCCACCUCGCUGGCUGACCUUGCUAUUCAAGAGGGCACAGUGUGCACCUCGGUCAUGGGCUGUCCGCACGUCUGGAAUCUGGGGCCAGACUCUGGGGUGCAGGGGGGUAGAUGAUGCCUUGCUCUGAGAACUAACACAAUCCUCAGAUGUAUAUUCUCUAAAAAAGAAUAAUGACGAUGCCAUUAUAUUUUGGAAUACUUAAUCAUAUUUAGCAAAAAUUCUGAGACUAAUGUAAAAGUAUGGUAAUAAUGUAUUUUCUUUGAAAGAGAGGGAAGAAGUGGUUUAUGAAAUAAACAAGUCCUCUUCUAGGUAUUUUUAAAAAUACUCAACAGAUGUGGCAUAUAUAAUAAGAAAGGCUGGUGCAUCUGAUUUCUGAGCUCUCGUAAAGCACGAAGCAGGUUGAGAAAGGGUAAUGCAUGCUGACAAAUGCUCUUCAGACCUCUCGUCAUCAGACACCAGGGGAAGGAGACCCUCAAACCGGAGAAUUAUAAUUCAACAGAAACUGUCAUUUCCCCAGAUGUCAUGGGAGUAUUACAUGCAAAAACCAGCCCUGCAGUGAGUGGGCUUAAACUCAAACUUAAUUCUUCAAUACAGGACUCUUUACUGACUUGUUCUAAGUUUUCAGUGAUGAACCCAAAUAAGACUGAGCUUCAAGUGACAGGGUUCUGAGAAUCUUUGGAGUCAUUCUGUCCACUAAUCCUAAUAGAAUCAAUGUAGAUAACAGUCCCCAAACCUCAAUGGAUUAUUUAAAAGUGAACAGAUGUUACCUAAAAUAUCAGAAUCAAAAUUAUGUGUAAAACAUAUCCGGGUGUAUUGUGUAUGCAUCUAGACAUGUUUAUAUAUGUAUAUUAUUUUUUCUCUGCUCAAUAAAAUUAGCAGCAGUUACAGAUAAAUUAUUGUGGUCAUGAUUUGUGUGAUUUCUAAGGACAACAUAUAUCCCUUUAUCAACACAUGACUUUUGGAAAAUGCCUUCUCAUAAAAAGAUCCCCACCAAGCAUAUAACAUUAAAGUGUCAAUUCAUAUCACUAACAUUUUCAGGCACAAGAGUAAAACAAUUAGCAUGAAGCAAUCUGAAUGACGGAGCACAGAACAUAGUUAAUUGUCUAAAGUCAACCCUCCUAAAAGAAGGG
rnacentral:lncRNA from 1 species